rnacentral:rRNA from 1 species
GACGAACGCUGGCGGCGUGCUUAACACAUGCAAGUCGAACGGAAAGGCCCUGCUUUUGUGGGGUGCUCGAGUGGCGCACGGGUGAGUAACACGUGAGUAACCUGCCCUUGACUUUGGGAUAACUUCUGGAAACUGGGGCUAAUACCGGAUAGGAGCUCCUGCUGCAUGGUGGGGGUUGGAAAGUUUCGGCGGUUGGGGAUGGACUCGCGGCUUAUCAGCUUGUUGGUGGGGUAGUGGCUUACCAAGGCUUUGACGGGUAGCCGGCCUGAGAGGGUGACCGGCCACAUUAGGACUGAGAUACGGCCCAGACUCCUACGGGAGGCAGCAGUGGAGAAUAUUGCACAAUGGGCGGGAGCCUGAUGCAGCAACGCCGCGUGCGGGAUGACAGCCUUCGGGUUGUAAACCGCUUUCGCCUGUGACGAAGCGUGAGUGACGGUAAUGGGUAAAGAAGCACCGGCUAACUACGUG